rnacentral:rRNA from 1 species
UUCGUACUGUGAAGCAUCCUGUUAAGUCAGGCAACGAGCGAGACCCACGCCAACAGUUGCCAGCUCGUCCUCCGGGAUGGUGGGGACACUGUUGGGACCGCCUCUGCUAAAGAGGAGGAAGGAAUGGGCAACGGUAGGUCAGCAUGCCCCGAAUUAUCUGGGCUACACGCGGGCUACAAUGGGUGGGACAAUGGGUAUCGACACCGAAAGGUGAAGGCAAUCUCCUAAACCCAUCCGUAGUUCGGAUUGUGGGCUGCAACUCGCCCACAUGAAGCUGGAAUCUGUAGUAAUCGUGUCUCAAAAUGGCACGGUGAAUAUGUCCCUGCUCCUU